GUCGACGGAGCAGAGACCGCCAUCUAGAAGCCAGGUUUGAAAGCGUGGACGCGACGCAAGCAGUUUUCUGCACCGUUGUUUAGCUGCUUUUAUCGCCACAAUGCGGACAACAAGUUUUCCAAGUCUAUUUAUUGUGUUCCUACAUUGUUAUCAUCGAAGAUAGAUAACAAUAGUGUCAAGACUUCAAACGAUGGCAAUAUAGGUUAGGAAGAGGUGGCCCGACCUGAUGCCCACCUAGAUUUCCGGACCUAACGUAGAUGUGUAUAAAACAACCAUCACAUCAUGAAACAGAGGAUGAGAGAAGACUUUCAAAGUGUUAAUCAUGAAAUGUUGACCAAUUCUGCCCAAUCGUUUAAAGAUCGUGCAUUGAAGUCGGUGGGACACAUUUCGAGCAACCAAUAAAAUUAAACUUAAUUAAAUAGUUGCUUUCUGUUUUGCAGUUUCGUUCUUAGCUUUUAAUCGUAUUUUUCUGGAAUUAUUAGCAAUUUUAAUAUUAUCCCUAGCGAAAAAUACUGUUUAAAUUGUUUUUCCAAAGUUGCCCAGUUCAUGGUUUUAUUUUUAUUUACAUCUCGAGUAUAAUUAAUGUAACACGUAACGAAUCUGAAAAAAUUAUACUUAACUCGUCUCUGUUCACUUUUGUUCGAAAAUGUUGUUCUUAAAAAUAUGUAUAACUUAAAAAAUUCUAAGUUUAGGUAUAGGUAAUGCUUAAUAAAAUUGAUAGAGCAUUAAUAAGAGUAAGGAAUAUAAAUAUGAUAUACAGGGUAUUCUUCCAUUUGAUUUUUUUCACAAAAAUUAAUAUUUUUCAUUUUGAUUUGCCCCGUACAAACGAUUCGAACUAACUUCAAGACAAGUAUAGGAUAAAUGGCUGUCCCACUUGUUGGCGUUAUAAAAUUACAUCGGUCUAUAAGUAAUAAUAAACGGAAUGCCGACAACCAAAAAAAAAACACUAUGGCCGGACUAACCUGGAAGUGCAGAAUGAUGGUCCAAAUCAAUCCGAGCGUCAGUUUUGGGUUACCGUCGACGAUAUCCUCCGAC